GACGAACGCUGGCAGCGUGCCUAAUACAUGCAAGUCGAACGCUUCUUUUCCCACCGGAGCUUGCUCCACCGGGAAAAGAGGAGUGGCGAACGGGUGAGUAACACGUGGGUAACCUGCCCAUCAGAAGGGGAUAACACUUGGAAACAGGUGCUAAUACCGUAUAACAAUCGAAACCGCAUGGUUUCGUUUUGAAAGGCGCUUUACGGUGCCGCUGAUGGAUGGACCCGCGGUGCAUUAGCUAGUUGGUGAGGUAACGGCUCACCAAGGCCACGAUGCAGAGCCGACCUGAGGGGGUGAUCGGCCACAUGGGGACUGGGACACGGCCCAAACUCCUACGGGAGGCAGCAGUAGGGAAUCUUCGGCAAUGGACGAAAGUCUGACCGAGCAACGCCGCGUGAGUGAAGAAGGUUUUCGGAUCGUAAAACUCUGUUGUUAGAGAAGAACAAGGGUGAGAGUAACUGUUCACCCCUUGACGGUAUCUAACCAGAAAGCCACGGCUAACUACGUGCCAGCCGCCGCCGUAA
rnacentral:rRNA from 1 species